GCGCUAGAGCCGAGUCCGGAUCGGUCAACGGAACCGAAGGUCUCAGGUUCGAAUCCUGACGGGCGCG
rnacentral:tRNA from 1 species